CCUGUGCCUUUUACCUCUUUAA
rnacentral:miRNA from 7 species